UACAGCGGGUGCGAGCGUUAAUCGGAAUUACUGGGCGUAAAGCGUGCGUAGACGGUUAUGUAAGUCGGGUGUGAAAGCCCCGGGCUCAACCUGGGAAUUGCAUUCGAGACUGCAUAGCUAGGGUGCGGAAGAGGGAAGCGGAAUUUCCGGUGUAGCGGUGAAAUGCGUAGAUAUCGGAAGGAACACCAGUGGCGAAAGCGGCUUCCUGGUCCAGCACCGACGUUCAGGCACGAAAGCGUGGGGAGCAAACAGG
rnacentral:rRNA from 1 species